GCCAAUGUGGCGUAGUGGUUUGAGUGUUGGACUAUGACUCUGGAGACUAGGGUUUGAACUCCGGCUCAGUCA